rnacentral:lncRNA from 1 species
AAAAAAACUAUAUAAAACAUUUUUGUAGCUUAUACAAAGAGAUAUAUGGUAGGUGAAAAUAGUUUGUUUUUUUGGUGCAUGCUCAAAUCGUUGUAUUCAACUUGAAAUAACAGACAAACGGUCGAUUCUAGGUGUAUAAUGUUAACAACACCUUUUGUACAUUUUGUAGUGCUUAAAAAGUUCAUUAAAAUGAGCAAUAUUAAAGGUAUAUUGCAUUCAAACUAAGCGAGAUAUGCUGAAGAAAAAUUGAUGAUUAAUGUAUUUUAAGAAAAAAUGAGAAGUAUAUUUUUAACCUCUCAUCCACCAGAAUUUUAAUGCAUCAUUUUACUUCUACAAUACCGUUUAUUAUAGUAUUAUGAACAGGUUCAAAAAGUUCUACGGGUUUUAAAUGAAUGGUUUUUGAAAAAAAAAUAAGAUCAAUUUAUAGAGCGCAUUUUUAGAUUUCCU